GAUCAAGAUUGGUGCAUUCUUCAGUAAAACUCUGGCAAUAGCAAUUCUCUGCAGAUCAAUUAAACAUAAACAUGAGUCAAUCACCUGGAGCUCCUCUGUCUCUCUCUCUCAUAUUCGCACCCAUUUAUUACCUGUCUCUGUCCUCCACUCAGUAAGCCUCCACGCUCGCCAACUAUUUGUCAUAACCCUUUUAAUCAACAAAAAGAGUCAAUAAAAAUUAUAAAUUGGCGGCAGGAAGAAAAUAGAAGAGACUAUUUUGGGAACAACUGACCUGUGGAAGUGAAAUUAUGAAGUC
rnacentral:lncRNA from 1 species